rnacentral:lncRNA from 1 species
AAAAUUAAUGCAAUAUCGCUGAUAGGCAAUAUUUCAUGAGUGAAACCCCACCCUAUUAAAGCACUUGACAUAAUUGGUGUAACAUAUAAACAACAUAGAAUGGAAACGCUGGCCUCUUGAAUUCAAACAGGUCAUAUUUUCUUCUGUUCAAAUUCUUAGUUUAUCAACACUGAUCUUUAGGUAAGGGAUAUUUAUUUCCUUAUUGCCCACAGGGGGCUAUACAUAGACGGGACAAACAAGGACAGACAAACGGAUUGUAACUGGUACUUGAUUAAUCAACCCCGAAAGGAUGAAAAGCGAAGUCGACCUCGGCGGAAUUUGAACUAAGAAUGUAACAGCAGACGAAAUACCUAUUUCUUUACUACCCACAAGUGGCUAAACACAGAGAGGAGAAACAAGAACAGACAAACUGAUAAGUCGAUUAUAUCGACCCCAGUGCGUAACUGGUACUUAAUUUAUCGACCCCGAAAGGAUGAAAGGCAAAGUCAACCUCGGCGGAAUCUGAACUCAGAACGUAACGGCAGACGAAAUACCGCUAAGCGUUUCGCCCAGUAUGCAAACGAUUCUGCCAGCUCACCACCCUUUUAGUUAAGGAAUAUUGUCAAUUUAGUUUAUCUUUAAUAAUGGAGUAAUUACUGUGUUGUGUCCUAGGAUUACGGAGUUGGUUGCUUGAUUUCUAAUCCGUUUAAAUGAUCGAGAUUACAACACGCUUCCUAAACGUGUCGCUAAUCAGUAGCAAGGUUAUGCAUUUACAGCUGAGUGAAAUUAAUGCAAUAACGUGAAAUUAUAUGUUUAGUCCAAGUGCAUGACGCACCUCCUAGUCCAAGAAUCGGAACCACGUUCUUCCGAUCAUAAGUACAACGCCCUAACCAUCAGGUUUUGUGCGUUAAGAAUGGUCGACACAUAAUAUAAUUUAUAUAUUUUAUUUGCUCCAGAUGAUGACAUUUAAAGUUCAUCUUUGGCAAUUCGUUCAAGAAACCAUAUAAAGACAGAAGAAAAUAUUCAUUCCUCUUUUAAGUACAAAGGUUCUAGAUAUUUUUUGAAAUGGUGUACUUAAUUAACAUUGACCGAAGUUUACAACUUACGAGUAUUUGUUCAAGAUCUGACAGGAAUAGAACUCAGAUGCAAAAGACAAUACAUAAAUACCACAAGGUAUUUAUGUAUUGCCUUUCUUCCAAUCUGACAUUUCAACAAUAUAAUUAAUAUGGAGGACAGUGUAGUCUACUAUAUAGAAUUUCAUCCAGUUAAUCAUGUCUACAAACUAACGAUGUAGACUAAAUAUUUGUAAGCAGAGUCGACUGUAACGACUGGUACAUAUCAUAUUGAUUGGUACGUAUGUAUGAUUGGUACGUAUGUAUGAUUGGUACAUAUUAUAUUGCUGCAACGAACACGUUUACAAACGUACCAGUAUAUCUUGAAACAUAACUAACUUUUUGACUACUGAAAUUUAACAUUUCUAUGAAACCUACUUCUAUCUUGAAGCUCUUACUGACUCACGCACACACGCAUACAUGAGCACACAAUCACACAUAUGUACAAACACAUAUAUAUAUAUAUACAUAGGGAGAAUUCCCAAAAAUCGAAAGACGAAGACAGGUGGUGUAGACAACAAACAGAUGUAUUAGUUUAACGCUCGAGAAGUGAAAAAGUCUUUAACGUUUCAAGCCAACGCUAUUCUACAGAAAGGAACACAGAAAGAAACAAUGAUAUAAAAUAAACAAUGUGUGUGUGUAUAUAUAUAUAUAUAUAUAUACACGCGCACAUAUUAAAGGGGACAGCAAACGCUAAGGCAAGACAAACAUCUCAAGUCAUAUAUGUUAUCAUUAUAAGAAAAAUUUUAAGUCUUAUAGCUGUUUCUGGAGAGGAGGAAGAAUGUAAUUGACAGGACAAUGGCAAGGAUUGAUAGAAAUAAUAAAAUAAGGAAUAUAAAAAAUAUUUUUCAUACCAGUCCUUGCCAAUGCACAGCAUUCCACCUCCUCUCUUUGUACCUCCAGAUCCCCUACCAAUACCCGCCUCUCUCUCUCUCACUCUUUAUAUUUAUUUUUCUUUCUCUUUAUCCCUUAAUUGCCACUUCUGCUAUCAUUCUCUUACGAACCAUCGAUACGUUACAUUUCUCGAGAUAUUUACACUAGGAAGGCUAUAAUCAUACCUGGAUUUACAUAGGAUUGCACCUAAAGUCUUAUAUACUAGCAUCUACACUACCGGAAAGUUGAGCUGUGAACUUUUAUGUUUCCUUUUUUUUUCUUCAUUUCUUUAUUUCUUUUUCCUCCAGUCUUUUAUUUUAUCGUUUCCUUAAUCUAUACUCUUCAUAUUUUCCCUAUUUGUCUCCGAUGACGGAAUAUCCCAUAUUUUGGGAUAUCCCAGAAACAGUUGUAAGAUUUUAAAUUUUUCUAAAAAUGAUAACAAAUAUGACUUGAGAAGUUUGCCUUCUCUUAGCGUUUGUUGUCCUCUUAAACAAAUAUGUAUAUCCGCUAUAUCAGAAAUAUACUAUAGUUCCAUAACCCCCGUCUCGGCUAUGAGCGUGGAGCCUGGUAAUCCAUGUUAGCACUUACCCAGCGUACCUGGUCGUUUAGAUUACCUGUGAACGAAACACCCAUAGUUUGUAUAUAUAUAUAUAUAUAUAUAUAUAUAUAUAUAUAUAUAUACAUAUCAUUUAUCUUUUAUCUCUUGUUUCAGUCAUUAGACCGCUGUCAUGUUGAGGCACCACAAUGAAGAAGAAUUGCUUGUUCUAGUCUAAUGAAUCGGCUCCAGUACCUUUUGUUUUAACGCCCUGUUCUUACUCAAUUACGGGGACGUAGUCAUUAGCACCGGUUGUCAAGUGGUAGUGGGGUAGACAAACACAGACAACCCCACUACCAGCAUACACACAUACACGCACAAAUAUAUGCAUAUACAUAAACAUACCCCACCACAUAUAUAUAUAUAUAUAUGUAUGUAUGUAUACGACGGGUUCUUUCCGUUUAUCAAAUCCAGUCACAACGACUUGGUCAGCCCGAGGCUAUAGUCGAAGACAGCCAUCGAAGGAGCCACGGAGUGGGGCAGAAUGUGGAACCAUGUGGAUGGGAAGCAAGCUUCUUACCACGCUGCCAGUAGGCCCGACUGUAAAGUUCAUAGUCUCACCAAGCUAUUCUCAUGGGAUGUGACUCAAUCAGGUUUAUUUUUCCACAUAAUUCCCCUUCCGGACCACACAUUUCAUCAAUUAUUGUUGCAGUGUUUAGAACCCUUUUGUGAAGAAGCCUUCAUUUUGUUAAAAAAAAUCAGUUACGACGUUAUUAUCACUGCGGUACUGGUUCCCAGCUAAGUGCCUUUUUUUUUAAUUUUGAGGACAGAUGGGGCCAAAUCAACCAGUUCAAAGCCACAGUCACGCACAAUAACCAUUGAGAUCAAGAACUUGUUUGCUGGAGCAUUCUCCUGAUGAAAAAAUACCCUUUCUCAGUUUUUCUGGGUAUUUGGUCUUGAUAGUCUUCCAUGAUUGCCUCUGCAAAUUGGCAUAAUACUUUCCGAUGAUAGUGCGGCCAUUUUCAAGAUUGUGCCAAUAAAUAAAAUGCCUCUGGGAUCCCAAACAUCUGAGUCCAUCACCUUUCUUGUCAAGAAACAACCUGGCUUUCUUUGGAGCAGAUUGGAAGAGGUAUUUCUACUGUAUUGCUUAUCGCUUCAUCUCUGGCUUAACGUGAUGGAGCCAGCAUUCAUCCGGGGUUAGGAAACGUUCAAAUAAACCAACUGGAUCUCCUUAAGACAAUGUCAUAUAUUCCUGUAUUAUGACCCACUUGUUGCGCUUUUGAUCAGGUGUCAGAUGUGGCAUCCACCGAGCAGAGACCUUCGUCACACCAGGUUCAUUGUACAGACUAUUCUAGAUUUUUCUAUGGGCUAUGCUAAUAGCAUUGGCUAUUCGAUUUAUAGCUAAUCGCCUGUCAUCCAUCAGUAUGUGGUGAACACGAUCAAUAUUAUCCUCGUUGGUGGCAGUUGUAGGAUGUCCAGACCCUGGGUCAUCUUGAAGACUCCGUUCUCCUAAAGUCAGCUGACUACCUUCGCACUGUUGAUAAAGCUGGAGUGUCAAACCCGAAUGUACCAACCACGUCAGUAUGAAUAUCCUUGAGAUCUAAACCUUUUUCCUAUAGGUACUUGAAUGCACUACGAAGCCAAAAUUUGCCAAUUUUCAAGAGAAGUCGCUACUAGUUACUUUUCAUGUCUUCUUUGAACAAUGAAAUGUCAGUUUACCUUAAAAGAGAAAACAAUUCAGUUAUAAAUUAAAAGGGCUGACAUUCAUGCAGGCAAUAUUUAACAGCUCUAGCAUCAUGCAGCACUCCUUCAUAGUCAACCUUUGAACUUUUCAGCCCACUUUUGUACGGGUGUGUGCGUGCGCGUGUAUACACACACACACACACACACACACACACACAUAUAUAUAUAUACAUACACACGCAUUCUUCUCACUCUCUCUCUCUCUCUCUAUAUAUAUAUAUAUAUGCAUUUAUCCAUGCAGCUUAUACUUUCGAAUGCAAACGUUUAGAUAUAUAAAUAGAUAAAACAAACGCAUGCUGUAGAAGUUAUCUAUUGAUUCCAAGAGAUGUGAGCCCGCUUUUAACAUUUACCGAAUAUUCUGGUUUUGUGGAAUUAAUAUUAAUGAUUUCUCAUAUAGGUACAAGGUCACACUUAUACGGGAAGUCAGCAAGGGAAUAUAACGAAAUAUAUUAAUCAAUACUUGAUUGAUAUGUAUUUUAUUGGCUUCGGAAUGGUAAAAUAUUAAGUCAAACUUGGGUCAAUGUAGUUUCAAUCCCAGAACGUUCAUCGAUUCAUUGAAAUAAUUCCAACGCCUUUUUGUGCACCGGUGUAGUUAUUCGACUAAUCCGUCUCUCUGUAAUUUAUGAUAACAAUAACAUUCAAUAUGCCGUUGUAGAAUCGAUGAGAAUACUGGAUGUUGCAAUAUCACUGUUUAGUUAUGGUUCUUUUAAAACGUUUUGCCUCUUUGCUUUUAUGCAUCAAUAAUACAUAUAAUAUAAAUACACGGUGUGGCACAUUUAGUUGAAAAAAAAAAUGUACGAGUCUGUAGCAAUAUAUAGUUGAAUAUACCCUAAACAACUAAAAUUAUGAAGUUGUAGCAAUAUUUUAAAAGCAAUAUUAGAAUCAUAAACUCCGAAAUUCUCUGUAUCUGUAGAGAUGUCAAAUGAAAUAUUCGUAAGAUUUGUCUAAAUAAGAUUUGAGCUACUUAGAGUCAAUCAUAUGAUUACGGUUUACUCGAGAAUACUAAGCACAAGUACUCUUAGACCUGUUUAAACCUGAACCUUGCAUCUCAAUGUUUAGUAUAUAUCCAUAUAUAUUAUGGCCAUUAUUUUUUCUCCUUUAGGACAACAGACUUAGUUAGUUACAACCACCAACCCAUGUACUUGAAUGUAAAUUUAUUCUUUUUGACAGUGGAAGGAUGAAAAUGAAGCAUGCCAUGAGCGUAUUUAAACUGAAAUUGUAGAGAAAUACUGCUAGGCAAAUAUCGAAAGAAAUAUGAAAAAUAAACAAUUAUUUCUAUAUUGUCAAAAUACUAGAAAUGUGUGUGUGUGUGUGUGUGCGUGGGGUGGGGGCUGUAAUCAGUAAUUGCACUUCAAGAACUGAAGUAUCUCAAACAUAUUCUACUAAUUCUAAUUGCAGUCACUCACAUCACAUUGGCAUUUUUAGAUUCUCACCGAAACAUACUCUAUAGCAUUUACCAUAUCCAGCCUUCUCGACAUCUUUAUGUUUUACUUGGUUAAUCAUUAGAGCGUGGGGCAACAUCUUGAAAAUGAACCGAGUACGUAUUUGUCUUCAAAAACUAAUAUUCUAUCGGACACUUUUUUUUUCCAAAUCACUAACAAAACAACACAGAUUGUUAAUGCGGUUAUGGAAACAAACACAACAGUAUACGCGCGCACGCACGCUCAUACACAUAUAUACAUGACAGUUUUCUACACUGUUUCCGUGCACCAAAUUUACUCACAAUACAUUGGUCGACCCGGGGAUAUAGCAGAAGACGCUUGCCCAAGCUGACGCACAUUAGAACUAAACUCGAAACCACGUGACUGCAUAGCGGAAUUCUUAACCGCCAAUUCCUAAUAAUGCCUUUGUGAAACUCAGUAGAUUUUCUGCCAGAAAAAUGCAUAUUUUCUUCAUUUUUAAAUAGCAUCAAUAACACCAACAGCAAUAGUAACAAGAAAAACAACAACGGUAAUUGUUUCUGCUUUAAAUUUUAUAGAAUUGAAGUGCGGAUUAUAUUUGCUUCACUAUUUCAAUAGUACUUAAUAUCGUUGACACUGAAGAGAUGAGAUAUUAAAUCAGUUCUGAAGAGCAGAAAAGCCGACGAUCUAAGAUUUCUAACAACGCAACGCCCAAACAAAAGCCAUUUUGCUUGUUUACAUAUGGUUAAACAGCUUUUGUUCUCUUAAAAAAACUAAAAAUAAGUUUGAUAACACAUGCGAAAGAAUUAAUGCAAAACUAUUGAUGCUAUUUAUACCUCUCUAAUGUUGAGCUCAUGUCUCAAAAAUACUUUACCAUGUAGUUUCUCUUGAUAAUAAACCUCACCAUAACAGUGAGCCAGAAGAAAUAUGUUCAGCUAUCUCAAAUUACGACAGUAGUAGUAGUAGUAGUAGUAGUAGUAGUAGUAGUAGUAGUAGUAGUAGUAGUAGUAGUAGUAGGAACAUAAACUCAAAAGCAUAAUAGAAAAUGAUAAUGCAAAGCUCCUAUGGGAUUUUAUGAUUCAGUGCGACCAUGAGAUAGAGAAUAGGAGACCAGACAUAGCGUUAAUUGAGAAAGAAAGUAAAUGGUGUUGGACUAUAGAUAUAGUAUGCCUGUUCGAAUACUCCGACUGGUGCUCGAAAAAUAAGGGAUAUUACAUUAGUUCACUAGUAGUGAACAGCUGGCAACGUAGUACAUCUCCAGCAUUAGAAGCUAUGCAUAGACAAUGAUGAUAAUAAUAAUAAUAAUAAUAAUAAUAAUAAUAAUAAUAAUAAUAAUAAUAAUAAUAAUAAUAAUAAUACACGGGGGACGUUUAAGAGAGAAUACACCGGGGGACGUUUAAGAAGAAUACACCGGGGGACGUUUAAGAAGAAUACACCGGGCGACGUUUAAGAAGAAUACACCGGGGGACGUUUAAGAUGUAAGAAGGAUAAAACAGAACUCCGAAAUCUAUCCACAAACAUCGAAAACAAGGACAUCGUAUGGAGCCAAAGAUUUACUUACAAAUGUUUGGACUGUAUCCGAGUAAGUAAUACUAAUUGAAAUUUAUUACUAUUUUCGAAACGAAAUGAUGUAUUUUGACUCGAUAUCAUCUCCACCUCUAACACAACACAUGUAAACAUGCGUGGACCAUUACGAUCCAUCAACACCAGAUCAUCCCCGACCCCAAACACCAUGUACAAAGGAACUACGAAGAAAUUAAAUGCCACCGAUAUUAUUCAACCCAAGAAUAACAAUCGAGCGGUACGUACUUUAAACUUACAACACAAAAUGUACGAAAAACUACACGUGCAAAACAAUGUGACAACAGAAAUGAACGGACCAGUACCCUACGAAAAUGAAAACCGUCAAAAUAAUGGGCCGGACGUUGUUCCUCAUGUCCCGCAAAUAAAACCCAAAAGACAUAAAUGGACACGUGAGGAAUACAUUUCUAUCUUACACGCAUACUUCACAGCAGUGCUCUACCCAAAAAAUGAAAACACAACAACACAUACAUAUAAAAUAUGGAAGGAAAAUAACAUAAAUAUAGACUUGGAUACAGAUAUGAACCCUAAUAAAUUAGCUAACGUACGAAGAUACAUUAUCAACGCAAAAAAAAUAUCAGAAAUAGAAAUAGAACAUCUAAGAGAAAAAAUACACAAGGAAAAUGUAGAUAAAAGCCACACAACAAUGCCCAAUAAUAUAAACACUGAAACAGUAAAACACAAAGACAAACGUAACAUUUCCAACAAACACGAUGUAAACAAAAAACAACAAACUCAGACAGUAAGGAUGCAUAAUAAAACACGACAAACAGCAAGCCAAAACACGGCAAACAAACAUAUAAAUAAGAAAGAAAACGACACAAAGCUAAAACCUGAAAACAAGGAAGGGGAGCCUAAUGAUUAUGAUAAUAUAAAAGGUAAAAUAAUCAAAGAACUGAAAACCACAGAGCUCAAAAUGGACCACCGACCAUACCUCCCAAGAAUCAAAAUAGACGAAACAACAACACCAAUUAUAAACAGCAUAAACCUAGCCAUCACGGAACUAAUAGCCACUGAAACAAAAAGCGAUAUCACUGAGCUAAAUGACUUAGUAUACGCAGCAGCCACUGCAACCACAAAAGAAGCUGGAUACUUACUCAAACGCAUCCAAACAGGAGUACCACCACCCAAACAAACCCUGUGGAUAAAUAACAUCCAAAACAAAAUACAAAAAAUUAGAAAAGAUCUGUCGUUUCUUAAUGAAAUCAGUAGACAAUGAACGCUACUGAGCAACAAAAAGAAAACAAAAAUACUCCGCAAAUAUAUCAUCACAGAAAAAGAUUUACCUGAAAUAAAAGAAAAGCUGAAGCAAGAUAUCCUUGCCAAAGCACAAAGGAUCCGCCGGUACGAGAAACGCCAUCGCUUCUUUGAACAAAACAAAAAGUUCAACUCCAGCCCCAAAAAAGUUCUACCAAGAACUUGGCAAAAAUAAAAUAGAAAUCACUGCAGCACCAACGGCAGAAGAAGUGGAAGAAUUCUGGAGAGAAAUAUGGUCGGCGAACGAACAACCAAAAAAAAAGGAGUAUCAAAACAACAAACUCAGCAUCUGAGCAACUUUGGACCCGCAUAACAACUGAAGAGGUCACCCAGGCACUGCAAAGAUUAAGCAACUGGAAGGCACCUGGGCAUGACAAGAUCCCCAACUUCUGGUUGAAAUAUCUAACAGGAAUGCACAAAAAGCUGGCUGAAAACUUUAACAACAUGCUGGCAGAGCCAGAGACAAUGCCUGAAUGGCCCACGAAGGGGAAAACCAUCUUAAUUCCCAAAUCAAAUGAGACAGCAAAACCAGAAAACUGCAGACCAAUAACCUGUCUCCCUACAAUGUACAAGGCAUUUACUGCAGUGAUAUCGCAAAGGUUGAACAAGCACCUGGACGAAAACAACCUGUUCCCAGAAGAGCAGAAAGGAUGCCGCGAAGGCUCAUAUGGCUGUAAAGAUCAACUAAUGAUUAAUAAAGCCAUAACUGAAGACAGCCACAGAAAGAAGAAAGGCCUCAGUAUGGCCUGGAUCGACUACAAAAAGGCGUUUGAUAGCAUCCCCCACACAUGGAUCCUCGAAACACUAGCCAUUAACAAAGUAGCACCAAAAAUCAUAAAAUUCAUAGGGCACUCUAUGAAUAAAUGGUAAACAGUGCUACAGCUCCAAACAAAAGAAUGACUCAUGAAAACCAAAGCCAUCCCCAUUAGAAGAGGAAUAUUCCAGGGAGACACGCUCUCUCCACUCCUCUUCUGCUUGGCACUGACACCUCUAUCUGAUAUGCUAAAUAGAACUGGAUGCGGAUAUAAAUGUUACGGCAAAGCGAUCAGCCACCUUUUAUAUAUGGAUGACCUAAAACUAUACGCGGCAAAUGACAAACAGCUGGAAACACUAUUAUAGACAGUUCAUGGAUUUACCAAAGAAAUAGAUAUGAAAUUUGGAUUAGAAAAAUGCGCCAAAGUAACCAUGAAAAGAGGAAAACUAGUUAAGAGUAGCAACAUCACACUAGAUAAAACCAAUGAAAUAAAAGAAUUAGAUCAAAGCCAAACUUACAAAUACUUAGGAAUCCAUUAAAUAGAUAAGACACAACACACACAAAUGAAAGAGAAAAUAAAAAAAGAAUAUUAUAGACGAGUUAGAUCAAUACUAAAAACAGAGCUCAAUGCUAAAACAAGAUAAUUGGUGUUAGCACUUUAGCUGUCCCAGUUAUAAGUUACAGCUGCAAUAUCCUUAAGUGGACACUAAAUGAACUGACCAAAAUAGAUAGGAAAACAAGAAAAAUAAUGACAGGAUCUAGGAUGCAUCACCCAAAAUCUGACAUAGAAAGACUAUAUAUACAACGUAUAGAAGGUGGCAGAGGCCUUUUACAACUGGAAAACUACUAUAAAAUAACCACCAUAGGACUGCAAAAAUAUCUACUUCAGAAGGAAGGAAAACUGAUACAAAUAGCGGCAAAACACGAGCAAAACAAAAAACUGUUCUCAGUAUUUAAGGAAGCUGACAAAUACAAACAAGAAAUCAUACCACCUAAUAAAUAUGAAGAAGAAGAAGAAGAAGAUAAAGAAACAACAAAAGCUAUAAAACAAAUGAAGUCCAAACUAAAAAUAGAACAGCAGCGAACCAUGAUAAAACGAUGGCAAGAAAAGCCCCUUCAUGGUAAAUACUGGACUAAACUAAACGCAAAAGAAAUAGACAACGAAAAAUCCCAGCAAUGGUUGAGAAGCUCAGGACUCAAAGCAGAGACAGAGGGAUUUUUAAUUGCAGCACAAGACCAAAGCCUCCCCACCAGAAAUUACCAAAAACAUGUAAUGAAAAGAAAUAUAACAAGUAACUGCAGAAUAUGUGGAGAUGGACAAGAAACAAUAAAUCAUAUUAUCUCUAGCUGCCCAGUCCUGGCUAAGAAGGAAUAUAUUCACAGACAUGACAGAGUUGGAACCUACAUACAUUGGAAGCUAUGCCAACAUUAUGGAAUAAUAACAGAAAAAAGAUGGUAUAGGCACACACCAGAAAAGGUCACAGAAAACGAGAAAGCAACCAUACUCUGGGAUAUGCCGAUACACAUAGAUAGAGAAAUUAAGGCCAACAGACCAGAUAUAGUUGUCAGAGAUCAUGAAGAAAAAAAAAUGCUUUCUAAUUGAUGUAUCAAUACCAGCAGAUGACAACGUGUCUCUAAAAGAAAUGGAGAAACUCUCAAAAUACAAAGACCUGGAAAUAGAGGUAACUAGAAUGUGAAAUCUAAAAACAGAAACAAUUCUUAUCAUAGUAGGUGCAUUAGGCAUGAUAAAAAAUAUUCAGACAAAUACAUAACAAAAACACCAGGACUUACAAACACAUAUAACAUACAUAUAACACUACUAGGCACUGCUCACAUCCUACGCAGAACACUUUCCAUACAACAACCAUCAGAGCAUCACAACAAAUCACAGCACAUACCCAAGGCACACAGAGCUGCGCUCGGUAGUGAAGUGAAAGCACGCUAUAAAAAUAAAACUACUGAAUAAUAAUAAUGAGGAGGAGGACGAGGAUAACAUUAAGGCAAUUGGAAAAACAUAUACAGCUCGAACCAAAGAAGAAUCUAAAGGAAAAAUUAAUAAUAGCGCUACCAAUAAGGAAGGGACAACUGGCACUAGCAGCUUAAUUCAUUUACGUGAUUAAGAUCAGACGAUUUUAGAUGAAUUGCAGAAAGUAAUGAGUAGUGAAAUACGAAAAAAUAUUGCCAGCAUUAAAAAGCACCCACAGAAGGAAGCUGCUAGAAACGACUAGGAAAGUAGAUUCUGUUAUCAGUAGAAUAGACGCCAAAAUAUAGGAGACACUAACUUAUUGAUCUAUGCAGGAGGAGCAGUAGUCACUAGAAUAUUAGAUAUCUCAGAGGGAAAGAUUAAGAAAAGCAAAUGAGGAAAAGAUGACUACAAAAUGAAAUGAAGUCUUUAAAACAAAAUCUGAGUACAAUAGAAGCCUGAAAGCAAAACAAAUUAGGAAACACAAGAUGCACAUCUGUUAAGAAAAGAUACUUAGUCGAAGAGUAAAGAUUUGGGACAGCAGUAAAAUAACUGAAACAGCGUAUUAUAGCAGUAUCAAGCAAGCUCUCCAAAUAUCAGAAAAAAAUAGAUCAGUAUCAACAUAAUAGAUUAUAUUAUUUGAGACAGACCAGAUUAGAUUUUGUAAACAAAUAAAUAGUAGAGAAGUACUGAAUUACUGAAGAUGAGAACCUAAUGCAGAAGGAGCUAGAAAGUUCUGGAGUAAUAUUUGGAAUAAGGCAGUCAAUCAGAAAGUGAAGGGAGAAGUAGUGAGUGAGAAACAGCCAGAUCAAAGACUCACUAAUGCAUUAAUGAAUAAAGUGUCAGGAAAAAUGCUCAUUUGGAAGGAGCCAGGACCAAGACUGAAAAAAAUUAGUAGUUUACAUGGGAAGCUGAGGAAAGAACUUCAGGAUUGCUUUAAUGGAAGAAUAAUACCAGAUUGGAUGACUAGAGGGAGGUCAGUACUCAUUAUGAAAUAUAAAAACAAGGGUAAUACAGCUAGCAACUAUAGACCGACCACAUGCUUACCAUUAGUGUGGAAACAGUUAACAGGAUUGCUUUCUGAAAGCACUUAUGAGCACCUUGAAGGUCAAAAGUUACUGCCAGAAGAACAAAAAGUUUGCAGGAAGAAAGUUAGACAACCGCAUGAUCUAUUAUACAUAGACAAAGCAGUUCUAAAUGUAGUAAAAGCUGGAAAGAAAAAUGUAACAAUUGCAUGGAUAGAUUAUAGGUAAGCCUGUGACAUGAUCCCACAUUCAUAGAUAACUGAGUGUCUGAGUAUAUU